rnacentral:lncRNA from 1 species
CUUCAAUGGUUCGUGGAACCCUUUAUCUCCAGCUCUGCCAUCAUUUUGGGCAAUUUCAUUCACCAUGGAUGACCUUAAGUUUCUAUAUCUCCAUCUCCAAUAGCAUUUUCACUCCAUUUAGUAAACCAAUCAGGCCACACCUUAGAUUCUUGUCAAAAACUUAUUUCUGAAAUAUUAAAUUGUAGGAUCCUCUUCAUAAAACUGAUUUUAAUGCUUUGUCCUUUGAUCCCUUUCACAAGGCAUUUGACUUCAAGCAACCUCCAAUUCCUUAAUCACUUUUUUUCUUCCAAUCCGUUUAGUUCACUCAGGCUUCAUUCCUCCACUUAGUUUAGAUUAUGACCUGUCACUCACUCAUGGUCUGUUGUUUUUCCUUCAGUCUGGCUCUGCAGAACCUUAUCCUUGGAUAGGUGUAGCCAUAUGACUUCACUUUCGUGGGUUGCUGUGUCUGCUUACAACACACCAUUGAUUGGUGGCACCACACAUUGACUCAGGUGGGUAAUACUGUCAAAGCCAUUGGGCAAGGGGGCCUUUAAGGAACCUGAAACCUCUCCCAUUUUUAAAGGGCAUUUUAGACUUUCACUUCUUGUCAAAUACACAAACAUUUCUCCUCCCUCAGCAGAGGCCUGCUAGGCCCACCUAACACAGCAGAAGUUGAGAACUCUAAGCUUCCUUAAUUAUAAAUAUCAUAAGCAUCUUCAUCUAUCCCAGAAAUGGUAUCAAUACUAGGAAUAUGUAUGUGAAUGAGCUAGUCAGUGUAUCACUUUAGCAUAUAAACAUGCUCAGGUCUCUCCUAUAUUGGUACUCUCCUUUUAACCUUUUUUCCUCUUUUUCUUGCUCUUUAUCUUUCCAUUAUAGCCAAGCCCAUCUGUUCUAUUUCACUUUCACAUCACUCAGUUGAUGGUAAUCUGGAUUUUCAACAUUUCAUUCAAGUUAUUCCUACUAAAGUCACCAAUGAACUCCAUAUUACUAAGGCUAGUGGAUGCUUUUCUCACCUCUCUUCAG